AUUGAACGCUGGCGGCAGGCUUAACACAUGCAAGUCGAGCGGGGUGAUGGUGCUUGCACUAUCACUUAGCGGCGGACGGGUGAGUAAUGCUUAGGAAUCUGCCUAUUAGUGGGGGACAACAUCUCGAAAGGGAUGCUAAUACCGCAUACGUCCUACGGGAGGAAGCAGGGGAUCACUUGUGACCUUGCGCUAAUAGAUGAGCCUAAGUCGGAUUAGCUAGUUGGUGGGGUAAAAGCCUACCAAGGCGACGAUCUGUAGCGGGUCUGAGAGGAUGAUCCGCCACACUGGGACUGAGACACGGCCCAGACUCCUACGGGAGGCAGCAGUGGGGAAUAUUGGACAAUGGGGGGAACCCUGAUCCAGCCAUGCCGCGUGUGUGAAGAAGGCCUUAUGGUUGUAAAGCACUUUAAGCGAGGAGGAGGCUCUUUUGGUUAAUACCCAGAAUGAGUGGACGUUACUCGCAGAAUAAGCACCGGCUAACUCUGUGCCAGCCGCCGCGGUAA
rnacentral:rRNA from 1 species